GGAGACAGUUAUGGGCGUGGCUAGAGCUGGAUGGAGGUUGAUUGACACUCCCCAACCCCCCACCUCCGAUCUCCAAGCGGAGUUUGUCGGCAGCAACAGGCACGCAUGGGGCCUGCUGGGACUCGUCUCCUGCUAUGCUUCAGCUCCUGCCCAAUCACUUACCUGUGCCAGGAGAAGCCUCUGGACAUGCCUGGGCAGCCUCUGGACAUGCACUGCUCCCAUUCCUCGCUGAGAGGGCAUCUCCCCGAGUGCCUCUCCAUCCCAGUAGACUCUCCAGAUGUGCCCAGUCCUCAACUGGUGUGGCCUCACCAGAGAGACUCAGACCAAACAGGCCUCCACAGCCUCUCUCUAGACACUUUCUGGGAAACCACAGUGGAAUACAAAAGGUCCUCAUUUGCCCUGAACCCUGGGAAGCCCUGUGGCAUUGGUUCAUGAGUGCUGUGGUUGGUUAUUUGGAACUUAAUUCUCUUGGUAUUUGCCACUUCCCAGUUGUCCCCUUUACUGUUCACAGUCCCCACCUAUAAUCCUCGGCUUCCUGGCACUUCCGGAGCCCAUAUUAACGUACCAAUUUUUUGUACCCCAUUUAGGGCACCAACUGUUCUGAUCUCUUGAAGAGCUCCUCAGGCAACCUUCUGUUUCUAGCAAGAUGAUACACCCAAGCCUUGAUGACAAGGCUUGGCUCUCAACCUCCUUGCUCCCCACCUCCUGUGAAAUACACAAAGAAAUUCAGUGAUCAUCGGGGAUGCUCUGGUCCAAACACUACCUGCCAGCCAGACGCAGGAGAUGGAUGGCUCAGCAGUAAUCGUGCUGCUUGAGCUUGGUGUCUAAUGGGGACAGUAGUGACAGGAAGUUCACAGGGACUGGAAGACAUGAGUUCUCUGAGGGAAAGGAAGGUGAAGCCUGGUGCUUAGGACCCUCAGGAGACCAUAGGAUGUGAGAAGGCUCAAGACACCCAGAGGUGGGGUCAGAAACAGGGCAAAGGAGACCAAGCAUGGGAGAGCUGCAGUGGACGUGUACAGACAGGAGAAGCAGGCCCUAAAGAAUCCCUGAGGCGGCAGAGAGGCUGGGCUGUGGAACUUUUUAAUUACUUUGCAUUAGGGGACUGUAGAGACCCAGAAGCCCACCCUUCCCCUCCCCUCAUCAGCUUAGCCCCAACAUAUGGUGGCUACCAAAGUAGUUAAAUCGGCUCUUGGUAGAAAAGGAAAGAGAUUCCUCCCAGGCUCUUCCCAGGGUCCACGGCCACACUCCAGGAGGGCUCAACUCCAGGGCAAGGCAGCUGGGACAGCAGGCAGCUGAAGGAGGACUAUUACUGCACCUUAGGGAAGAGUGCAGUGGCGAGUGGGGAGGACUCUGCUGGGACCCGGGGGUCAUGUGCAUUCCCAUUUAGUUGAGCUCUGCUUAAUCCGGGCCUAGGCUCACAGUAAUGGGGAACGAGGAGAGGCUCCCAUCAGAGACCAAGAAGAUGACAGACUCUCUGUAAAGGCUGUCAGAGGGGUCUGCAUGACCAACCACACCUGCUCCUGUUCCUUUGGGGCUCUUGUGACCUCCCUGUCUUCUUGUGAGAUCUUAUGUUCCUCCAACCCUGAGAGCUACAAACCAAUCUCCGGAAUAAAAAAAUCUGUCCCUCG
rnacentral:lncRNA from 1 species